GAUGAACGCUGGCGGCGUGCCUAACACAUGCAAGUCGAACGGAAAGGCCCUGAUCUUGUGGCGUUCUCGAGUGCCGAACGGGUGAGUAACACGUGAGUAACCUGCCCUUGACUUUGGGAUAACAUCAGGAAACUGGGGCUAAUAUCGGAUAGGAGCUACUGCUGCAUGGUGGGCGAUGGAAAGUUUCGGCGGUUGGGGCUGGACUAGCGGCUUAUCAGCUUGUUGGUGGGGUAGUGGCUUACCAAGGCUGUGACGGGUAGCCGGCCUGAGAGGGUGACCGGCCACAAUGGGACUGAGAUACGGAGCAGUCGCCUACGGGAGGCAGCAGUGGGGAGUAUUACACAGUGGGCGCAAGCCUGAUGCAGCAACGCCGCGUGCGGGAUGACGGCCUUCGGGUUGUAAACCGCUUUCGCCUGUGACGCAGCGUGAGUGACGGUAAUGAGUAAAGAAGCACCGGCUAACUACGUG
rnacentral:rRNA from 1 species